GCCUUAAUGCGGCUCCAUACGGAACGGUUGCAAGCCCGAUAACGCGGAGCAAGGA
ncrna:unclassified sequences type-P1 twister ribozyme